rnacentral:misc_RNA from 1 species
ACAUGACCACGACCAAAAAAAAAGUAAAAAAGUGAAAAAUUAUUUGAAUAAGCCAUACAAACAAUGUAAUAAAAAAAACAUUGCAGGAUAUGAUCAAGUUAAACAUAAAACGGCUGAUCUCAUUCUCUGCAUAUUUUAAUGGACAUCUAGAGGCCAAUGCACUCCAGUAUCCAUAGUUGUAGGUUCAUAAAGCAAAACUUCCAUUAACAAGCAAAAACUGAGGCCCCUGGGACCCUGAAGAACUAAUAGAAGGGAAUUCCUCAGCAGCUGCAAUUGCCAUUGCAUCCACAACAUACUUGGGCGAAUUUCUCUCCCUAUUCAAGUAUACCCCGGUACAAAUUCAUUGCGAUAUUAACAUUUUACAUGACUUUGUUCCUGGAAGGGGUUUAUUUGGAAAAGAGAAAAAAAAAAAAUAAACAAAGAUUGACAAGAGCACCUGCUACUGAUAAGAAAACAAAAUCUACAGCAGUGUAGAAUGGUGUUUAGAUGUCCCCAUAAUGAUUCUUCUACAUGAAUGUUGAAUUAAUUGCUGAAAAUUAAAUGCUUUUAAGUAUGUACAGGACACAUAAUUUCUACCUUAAACCCCAUUUCAUAUGCCAGAUGUUUGAGAUAAUUCGUUGUCUCAAAUCUGGCCACCAAUGAAUUCUUCUUUCUGCAAUGUCUCGAGGGGCUGCGCAUAUCUCAACAUUUAAAACUUUCCUCUCAUUGGAUUGUCUUUAUAAGCUUGCACUUAGAAAUGAACAUGCUAUCCAUGUAAUUUAGACUACACAGCUUCAAAAGCUCUGCAGAUUGCUGCUUCAAGACAGGAUUACAACCACUCUGAAUCACAAGCAGGAGCUUUGCUGCAAGGCCCACAUUCACAGCAAGUGAUGGGCAUUCCUCAGGAGCAAGUUUGCAUACGGAACAUAAAAUUGACAAUGCAUAUUGAGUACAAAUCUCCGGAACUCCCAUCAAUAACUGUGACAUGUUCAAUAUUGUGUUUGGAGAGUCCUUCAAUGCCACUCGUCCCUGAGGUAGAGAAGAUAAUGAAUCCAAUAUGAAUAGUGCCAAUUCCAAACAAUCAGGAUCCAAGGAAGGUAACAGCUCAACCAACUGAGGAACAGCUCCAAUGGUCACAAUCAAGCUCCUUACUUCCUCAUGUAAGCAUAUUGAUCUGAGGAGGCUGAGCCCUGGCAAGAUACCAUUGGUGUGCCUCUUACCCUUCACCAGCCUCAUCAACCCAACCAACAGACUAUGACUUGAGAUAAGUUCUGUGCGAAAAUCCUUCUCUUCCAUCAAUUUCUCAAUCAAUCUAGUACAAUUGAUCCUCGUCUCAAUUGAACCUUCAUUUAAUAUGUCCACCAUUAACGAAAUCUUUGCAGGUUGCAUCAAAUCGGACUUGGCCUCUGAAUCAAGUGUCAAAUUCAUAAGAAUCCCAAUUACCUCAGAACCAACGGCAUGGCUUGUGAAUGGACCUAGUAAAGAUGAAAUCACUGCAACCCCACCUUCAUCUACCACAGUUUUCCUAGCAGUAGCAUGAGCUGCUACAACUUGGUGCAGCUCCUUCAGUGCCUGAACCCUAGUUUGACCCUUCACUUUCUUCAGUGACUCAAUAAGUUCUGCUGCCCUUCCCUGUACAUCUUCUGCUCUCUUCCUCGCUAGCAAAUACUUCUGUGAAAACCAAGAGUAAAUCAAGUGAUAAAGAGUUUUAUUUGGCGUAACUGAAUCAUCCCACAGUUCUUGCAUUGUGGUAGGGCAGGUAUAGUGCCCCAAACUGAACCAUUUGAGAAUAUUGGGUCUCUCAUAGGUUUGGCCCGUGCAAAGAGUAACAGGGUCUUGCAUUGGCUCAAGGGAUAUCGGACAUACAAAUACUGAAGGAACUUCUGAUAAAUCAAGCUCCUCAAUCAUCUUCUUCAGGUCCAAUUUCUCGCCAACACCAGCACCAAUAACCCCACCACCAACACCACCCAGAACUCCAUCUUUCACUGCAGUGUCUAAAUCUAAAACUUGGCCAUCAAACCCAGCAAUGCCAUCCCUCUUAGAGGGCUGAAACAUUGGCAUUUUUUGAAAAACCUGCAAAGAAAAACCUAAACCCACCAACAACACAAACACAAUAACAAAAAGGGAAAAAAGAAUCCCUCCAAAUCACUGCAAUGACAAGCACCCUUCAUGGCACAUUACAUCUAGGUUGCACAUGAAAUGUGCGAAAAGGAUGAAAUAAAGGGGAAAGAAAGAAUGGAGUUCUCUGUCAUUGACAAUCACAAGCAACAAACAAAAUUCUUCCUUUAUUGCCCACAAAUAUGCAUCACCUUCCCCUCCUGUUGCUUUCCCUUUGCUUUAAGUAAUGCCUUUCUACGGUCAAAAAACUCAUUGGUAUCAUAAUAACACAAACAAUAGACAUAUAAUCAAGCUGCUCUCACUUUGUUGUUCAAGCUUCAAAAGGGUCAAAUCAUGAACACCAGUGGAGUGAGAGACGGAGAGAGUGAAGCAGAGUGAGAAAGAGAAAGCGAAAAGCGAUGUCCAGCAAAGCCUUCCCUAGUUCUCCUCUUCUUUUGGGGCAAGUGUUUAAUGAGAGAGAGAGCUUUUCACGGAAAAUAAUAAAAAUGGAAAAUAAAAGAAUUACUCCUUUUUGAUUUUGAGAUGAGUGCGACCGGGAAGGAACCGCUGCAACCGGUGAAUCAGCCCCUCACCGCGCGCACUACACGUGCAGUCUUGUCAUAUCUCG